AUUGAACGCUGGCGGCAGGCCUAACACAUGCAAGUCGAACGAGUGGCGGACGGGUGAGUAAUGUCUGGGAAACUGCCUGAUGGAGGGGGAUAACUACUGGAAACGGUAGCUAAUACCCCAUACCAUCAGAUGUGCCCCGAUGGGAUUAGCUCGGUGGUGGGGGAACGGCUCACCGAGGCGACGAUCCCUAGCUGGUCUGAGAGGAUGACCAGCCACACGGGAACUUAGACACGGUCCAGACGCCUACGGGAGGCAGCAGUGGGGAACAUUGCACAAUGGGCGCAAGCCUGAUGCAGCCAGGCCGCGUGUAUGAAGAAGGCCUUCGGGUUGUAAAGUACUUUCAGCGGGGAGGCGUUACUCGCAGAAGAAGCACCGGCUAACUCCGUGCCAGCCGCCGCGGUAAUUC
rnacentral:rRNA from 1 species